UACGAAGGGUGCUAGCGUUGUUCGGAAUCACUGGGCUUAAAGGGCGCGUAGGCGGGCGAUCAAGUCAGGGGUGAAAUCCUCCAGCUUAACUGGAGAACUGCCUCUGAUACUGGUCAUCUUGAGUGAGGUAGGGGCGUGCGGAACUGAUGGUGGAGCGGUGAAAUGUGUUGAUAUCAUCAGGAACUCCGGUGGCGAAAGCGGCGCGCUGGACCUUAACUGACGCUGAGGCGCGAAAGCCAGGGGAGCGAACGGG
rnacentral:rRNA from 1 species